GCAGGUGUUCUCCAAGUCUUCACCGAAACAACUUUUCUGUUCAUUCAUGACUAAAAGCAUUUUUAAAUUCUGAUGUUAUUACACUUGGGAUCAGACAAUGGGCUUCUUGUUAAUCUGAGGAACUCACUACGUAGCAGUCCAGGAGAGAAACUAGACGAGGACUGAUCUGUGGAAGAAGGGAGAAGAGCAAGCCAGCCAUACAGUGCAUCGGACAUGUGGGUCAGUAGACAACACAGAGUCCUGAGCACAGCAGGAAUUGAGCAGCGAGGGGCAAUGCCUGUGCUCCCAGACCUUCUUCCCAGUGUCCCUCUCCAACUGCCUGGAGCACGUUCAUUGCAGGUCAGUGAUAAUCACCAUGCUAGUCUUCAAACACCCUGCUGAAGGCAGGAGCUGCAGCCGAGGCAGGUGAGAAGAGCAAAGGGCUCACACAGACACUGCCUUUCGCAGGUGACAGGGCUAAGUCCUGGGACGGGCUGGG